rnacentral:rRNA from 1 species
UACGGAGGGUGCGAGCGUUGUCCGGAAUCACUGGGCGUAAAGGGCGCGUAGGUGGCGCGAGGAGUCUGUGGUGAAAGCCCGAGGCUCAACUUCGGGUCGGCCGCGGAUACUCUCGUGCUGGAGGGUGGUAGAGGCCAAUGGAAUUCCGCGUGUAGCAGUGAAAUGCGUAGAUAUGCGGAGGAACACCGAUGGCGAAGGCAAUCCCCUGGGCCUGCACUGACGCUCAUGCACGAAAGCGUGGGGAGCAAACAGG